rnacentral:rRNA from 1 species
GUGGGGAAUAUUGGGCAAUGGGCGAAAGCCUGACCCAGCGACGCCGCGUGAAGGAUGAAGGUCUUCGGAUUGUAAACUUCUUUGAUCAGGGAAGAAAGAAAUGACGGUACCUGAAAAACAAGCCACGGCUAACUACGUGCCAGCAGCCGCGGUAAUACGUAGGUGGCAAGCGUUGUCCGGAUUUACUGGGUGUAAAGGGCGUGUAGGCGGGGAUGCAAGUCAGAUGUGAAAUCCCGCGGCUCAACCGCGGAACUGCAUCUGAAACUGCGUCUCUUGAGUGUCGGAAGGGAAAGUGGAAUUCCUAGUGUAGCGGUGAAAUGCGUAGAUAUUAGGAGGAACACCGGUGGCGAAGGCGACUUUCUGGACGAUAACUGACGCUGAGACGCGAAAGCGUGGGGAGCAAACAGGAUUAGAAACCCCUGUAGUCC